rnacentral:rRNA from 1 species
AAAGAAACCAACCGGGAUUGCCUCAGUAACGGCGAGUGAAGCGGCAAGAGCUCAAAUUUGAAAUCUGGCCCCUCCGGGGUCCGAGUUGUAAUUUGCAGAGGAUGCUUCGGGUGCGGCCCCUGUCUAAGUGCCCUGGAACGGGCCGUCAGAGAGGGUGAGAAUCCCGUCUUGGGCAGAGUGCCCGUGCCCGUGUGAAGCUCCUUCGACGAGUCGAGUUGUUUGGGAAUGCAGCUCAAAAUGGGUGGUAAAUUUCAUCUAAAGCUAAAUACCGGCCGGAGACCGAUAGCGCACAAGUAGAGUGAUCGAAAGAUGAAAAGCACUUUGAAAAGAGAGUUAAACAGCACGUGAAAUUGUUGAAAGGGAAGCGCUUGCAACCAGACUCGGCCUCGGGGUUCAGCCAGCAUUCGUGCUGGUGUACUUCCCCGGGGCCGGGCCAGCGUCGGUUUGGGCGGCCGGUCAAAGGCCCCAGGAAUGUAUCGUCCUCCGGGACGUCUUAUAGCCUGGGGUGCAAUGCGGCCAGCCUGGACCGAGGAACGCGCUUCGGCACGGACGCUGGCGUAAUGGUCGCAAACGAC